AACGCUGGCGGCGUGCCUAACACAUGCAAGUCGAACGGAGUGUUGAGAGCUUGCUUUUAACACUUAGUGGCGGACGGGUGAGUAAUGUAUGAGCAACCUGCCUUUCAGAGGGGGACAACAGUUGGAAACGACUGCUAAUACCGCAUAAAGUAUUUAGGAGGCAUCUCUUGAAUACCAAAGGAGCAAUCCGCUGAAAGAUGGGCUCAUAUCUGAUUAGCUAGUUGGUGAGGUAACGGCUCACCAAGGCUGCGAUCAGUAGCCGGACUGAGAGGUUGAACGGCCACAUUGGGACUGAGAUACGGCCCAGACUCCUACGGGAGGCAGCAGUGGGGAAUAUUGGGCAAUGGGCGAAAGCCUGACCCAGCAACGCCGCGUGAAGGAAGAAGGCUUUCGAGUUGUAAACUUCUUUUGUCAGGGACGAGUAGAAGACGGUACCUGACGAAUAAGCCACGGCUAACUACGUGCCAGCAGCCGCGGUAAUACGUAGGUGGCAAGCGUUGUCCGGAUUUACUGGGUGUAAAGGGAGCGUAGACGGAACAGCAAGUCUGAAGUGAAAUGUAGGGGCUCAACCCCUGAACUGCUUUGGAAACUGUUGAUCUUGAGUACCGGAGGGGCAGGCGGAAUUCCUGGUGUAGCGGUGAAAUGCGUAGAUAUCAGGAAGAACACCGGUGGCGAAGGCGGCCUGCUGGACGGUAACUGACGUUGAGGCUCGAAAGCGUGGGGAGCAAACAGGAUUA
rnacentral:rRNA from 1 species